rnacentral:rRNA from 1 species
GUCUUUUUGAAAUUUAAAAAAAGUCUGACCUGCUCAAUGAUAUUAAAUAGCCGCGGUAUUUUGACCGUGCGAAGGUAGCAUAAUAAAUAGUCUAUUAAAUGUGGUCUGGAAUGAAUGGUUAAACGAAGGGUAUCUUUAUUAAUUUUGUUGAUGAAUUUGAAUUAUCAGUAAAAAUGCUGAUUUUUGAUAGAGGGACGAGAAGACCCUAUAGAGCUUUAUAUAAUGACAAAUUAUGAUAGAAAUUUUUAGUUAUAUUUUGUUGGGGCGACAUAGAAUUUAAACAUUUGAUUUGUUUUCUUUUUUUGAGGUUAGGUGAUCCAUUAUUAGUGAUUAUAGACUAAGUUACCUUAGGGAUAACAGCGUAAUCUUACUAUAGAGUUCUUAUCGAUAGUAGGGUUUGCGACCUCGAUGUUGGAUUAGAAUUCCUUAUAGGCGCAAAAGUUUGAGAAGGUAGUCUGUUCGACUAUUAAAAUUCUACAUGAUCU